rnacentral:rRNA from 1 species
UACGGGGGGGCAAGCGUUGUUCGGAAUUACUGGGCGUAAAGGGCUCGUAGGUGGCCAACUAAGUCAGACGUGAAAUCCCCAGGCUUAACCUGGGAACUGCGUCUGAUACUGGAUGGCUUGAAUUCGGGAGAGGGAUGCAGAAUUCCAGGUGUAGCGGUGAAAUGCGUAGAUAUCUGGAGGAACACCGGUGGCGAAGGCGACAUCCUGGACCGGUAUUGACGCUGAGGCGCGAAAGCCAGGGGAGCAAAGCGGG